rnacentral:rRNA from 1 species
CUCUGGGUUAGUCGGGUCCUAAGCUGAGGCCGACAGGCGUAGGCGAUGGAUAACAGGUUGAUAUUCCUGUACCACCUAUAAUCGUUUUAAUCGAUGGGGGGACGCAGUAGGAUAGGCGAAGCGUGCGAUUGGAUUGCACGUCUAAGCAGUAAGGCUGAGUAUUAGGCAAAUCCGGUACUCGUUAAGGCUGAGCUGUGAUGGGGAGAAGACAUUGAGUCUUCGAGUCGUUGAUUUCACACUGCCGAGAAAAGCCUCUAGAUAGAAAAUAGGUGCCCGUACCGCAAACCGACACAGGUAGUCAAGAUGAGAAUUCUAAGGUGAGCGAGCGAACUCUCGUUAAGGAACUCGGCAAAAUGACCCCGUAACUUCGGGAGAAGGGGUGCUCUUUAGGGUUAACGCCCAGAAGAGCCGCAGUGAAUAGGCCCAAGCGACUGUUUAUCAAAAACACAGGUCUCUGCUAAACCGUAAGGUGAUGUAUAGGGGCUGACGCCUGCCCGGUGCUGGAAGGUUAAGAGGAGUGGUUAGCUUCUGCGAAGCUACGAAUCGAAGCCCCAGUAAACGGCGGCCGUAACUAUAACGGUCCUAAGGUAGCGAAAUUCCUUGUCGGGUAAGUUCCGACCCGCACGAAAGGCGUAACGAUUUGGGCACUGUCUCAACGAGAGACUCGGUGAAAUCAUAGUACCUGUGAAGAUGCAGGUUACCCGCGACAGGACGGAAAGACCCCGUGGAGCUUUACUGUAGCCUGAUAUUGAAAUUCGGCACAGCUUGUACAGGAUAGGUAGGAGCCUUUGAAACGUGAGCGCUAGCUUACGUGGAGGCGCUGGUGGGAUACUACCCUAGCUGUGUUGGCUUUCUAACCCGCACCACUUAUCGUGGUGGGAGACAGUGUCAGGCGGGCAGUUUGACUGGGGCGGUCGCCUCCUAAAAGGUAACGGAGGCGCUCAAAGGUUCCCUCAGAAUGGUUGGAAAUCAUUCAUAGAGUGUAAAGGCAUAAGGGAGCUUGACUGCGAGACCUACAAGUCGAGCAGGGUCGAAAGACGGACUUAGUGAUCCGGUGGUUCCGCAUGGAAGGGCCAUCGCUCAACGGAUAAAAGCUACCCCGGGGAUAACAGGCUUAUCUCCCCCAAGAGUUCACAUCGACGGGGAGGUUUGGCACCUCGAUGUCGGCUCAUCGCAUCCUGGGGCUGUAGUCGGUCCCAAGGGUUGGGCUGUUCGCCCAUUAAAGCGGUACGCGAGCUGGGUUCAGAACGUCGUGAGACAGUUCGGUCCCUAUCCGUCGUGGGCGUAGGAAAUUUGAGAGGAGCUGUCCUUAGUACGAGAGGACCGGGAUGGACAUACCUCUGGUGUACCAGUUGUCGUGCCAACGGCAUAGCUGGGUAGCUAUGUGUGGACGGGAUAAGUGCUGAAAGCAUCUAAGCAUGAAGCCCCCCUCAAGAUGAGAUUUCCCAACUUCGGUUAUAAGAUCCCUCAAAGAUGAUGAGGUUAAUAGGUUCGAGGUG